GUUGGAGCUGAGCUUUGCUGCUGAGCCAGGCUGGCCUUCACUGCUCUCUGGGAAGAUUGGACCAGGCUGCUUGUGAACAUUUCCAGGCCUGUGCAGCCACCCUCUCCCUCCAGGACCUCGACCUGAUUUGAAUAUCACACUCUAUUGUGUGGAGGUGCAAUGUGAGGUGCUUGGGUCAAGAGCAGCUCCUGGACACUGAGCACUGGCCUGACUGUCUGUGCCUGCAGCCCAGGGCGUGGCGCACAGCUUCCCCCAGCAGAGGCCUUCUUCCCCGCUUGUCGCUCCCACAGACCCUCCAGCUGAAGAUUGAGAAGCCACUAGGAAGCAGACUGAGUCACUUGGGCAAUGAUUCAGCCACACCAACCUUGAACUCUCAAUGACUUGGGCUAAUGAAGAGAAGAAUGGCAUGGAUAAUCUAAAAAUAAUGGAUGAUGGGAAAGGACUUCAGCCUGCUCGUGGAGUG